GGGGCUAUAGUCUAAUUGGUAAAACUGGGACCUUGCAUGUCCUCAAUUCAGGUUCAAAUCCUGAUAGCUCCA
rfam:Ajellomyces capsulatus G186AR mitochondrial scaffold supercont1.87, whole genome shotgun sequence.